UUCAGUAUGAGUCAUGAAGGAGCACGUAGGAAAGAUGUUGGAUAGUAUUUCCUGGGGAACUUUUCAUCCUUCAAAGAGAUACCCAUAAAGAGUCCUCCACAGUGACAGCCGCUUAAAAAUCAAGCAGUACCACAUGGGUCAGCCCAACAGGAAACACAGUGAGACACCGAAGGCACUGCUACCAGGUCGCCCUGGCUGCAUCUCAAGUUGGGUCAUCUGAGGCGUAUAUUUUGAAGUUGCCAUUCUACUCAGCGAUGGAGAAGAAGGCACACUGAUCAGUCUUAGUGCUUCCUCCAUGUCUGGCUAUGUCUUGCACCACAUCCGCUUUCAUUUCUCCAUGUAUUUGUCUCCUGUGAGUCUGUCUCAACUCCCAGUGAGACUAAGCACCACCUCAGUGAGACUGCGAAUCAACUUGUCUGUUCUCACUCCACCAUCUAGCUCAGUGUUGGGCACAAUACAGAUUUUCUAAGUGUUCCAUAAAUCCAAGAGGCCCCUGCAAGUUUACCCAUGGCCGCCUGUAAGGGUUCCCUCCAGAAACGCCACCAAGGAAAUGAUCCAGCUACCUCUGGGAGACCUCGCAAGUCCUCAGCACCUGCACAGUUCUGUAAUUAGCUGACCUCUGAACUAACGAUAAAUUUUGAAGUAAUAUUUAAACACACACAGCUCCCUAGAAAUGUUGUUAGACUACAUUAGACAGCUUAAGAAUCACAGUGUCAAUAGCUUGCACACGUUAUUCUGUUUGUCAAGAUCAUGCUGCCUGGCGUUGCAAUAGAAAAGAGGGCUUAGGUCUUGCAGGGUUCACUGAACCCCACUUGGGUGCACUCUAAAUAACCUGUCAUUCCAGCUCGCAGCCGAUGUCUCUCACACGGAGCCCCUAGUGUGUCUCCCUGUCCUUUUCACACCCCAACAGUUCAUCAGACAUUCACGGGACAGAGCCAUCACUGCACAAGUCCCCCUGCCAUCAACGUCCUGGAAUAAGAACAUCAGAUGUACACAUCCUGAGAUGUAAUCUGUAAACAGAGCCCCAAGCAUCUGGAGAAGGCAUGUUUAUGUUUCAUUCGUGCUGCUUCCAUAAAGUUUCAAGACCCUAUCUCUGCCACAAGCAGAGAUGCUUUCUCACCAGCUGGAGGACAGACUCAGAGGCUUGACCUGCAUUCUAAAAGGGCCCCACGCCUGAUCCUGGGGAUGGAGCCCACUCCCUUCAAGGGCUAACAGACUCACUCUGAGGCCCCAAAGCUCUGUCAUAGGGCAGUCACGCUGGCUUGUGUUCAUCCUUGGCCACCUUUGCAGGCGAUACACAGGAAGGAGACGACUGUCUCCCCUCUCCAGGAAGUUACUGGGUACAGGGGCAGAGUUUCUUCUGCAGUGCCAGAAUUCCAAGCUGCUGUCAGCAACCACAGCUUUGGGGUGUAAGGUCCAGGGACAAGUUUGAAAAGAGUUCAGUGAUCAGUUCUGAAGGAGUGAAAUAUGGGAGAGACUUUGACCCUGACAGUCACUCAGAACAAAUCCUCUCCAGCUUCAUCUUUUCAUUCCUGUGCCAGAAAUGAGCCCAUCUCACUAGGGUAAGCAGCAGCCCCUGCUUCCUCACAGUGGUCUGGGGGCUCUAUGAACUAGGACCCGUAGGCUGGGGUUGGGAGGCGAAGGAAAGAAAGGGACAUUAUUUUCCCAAAAAGAGGAAGAGGAGGAGAGAGUGGGGAAAGGAAGGAGAGAGACAGAAGUAGCAGCUUGAGACAAGGGCGAGGCUGAUUUUAAGCAGAUUUUCUUUCCCUGUGGAGACCCAGAGCAGCCGCCACCAUGCACAUCCCUCUUUCAGAGGGGUUUAGCGUGGCCCCACCAGGACUGGCCUGGGGUUCCUUUUGAAGCUGAGUCACGCAUUCAACUCUGGGGAACUUAUUAUUUCUACAAAUUUGCCCUCUAACACACAGAGGGAUACGUAUCAGAGUCAACUCUUCACAGCCCUGUGACAGCCCUGUUCAGACAGAGCAGCUUCGGGAGAGACCCAAGGCUGAGUCACUCCUAAUGGGAAAAGGGUGACUAUUUACCCCUGUUGCCUCCACUCUGUCCAUAGACCCCUGGUAGUCCAGGUCCUCCUACUCUUCUACUGAGCACCCCAGCACAGGGCACAUCUGCACCCACACCCCCACCCGCACCCACUUCGCGCACAGGGCUGCAGCUAAGUGUAAGACUCCUUGGGUGCAGCGGGUGCUCCCCUGAUCCCCAAACUGACACAAGGUUGCCUGCCUUGCCCUGCUGGCUUUGCAAGAAACCCUGCUAUGGGCUUUGUUUUUUAGUCUCCAGAGGCGUCUUUCCUGUCCAUCCCUGGGAGCACAGUGGAAGCUGCAGUGAAGCCUCACAAAUACAGCAGAUCUGGUGCUGGGCUCGAGGCUGAUCACUGUCACCUCCUGUCACCCAUCCUGUCACCUCCGACAGCUUCUCUCUGACCAAGGGCCCUUGUCCUCUCCAAGGGCCAAUUCACUGACACCCUCUCCCUGGUGGGCACUCCAUGGUUAAUAUCCUUUCUGUUCUGUGAUCAAAAGAAAUUCUGUUUCCUCAAAGAUGUUGAAAGUUCCCUAUAGAGAAAGAAAUGUUAUCCUUCUCUCUCAUCCUUUUGCACUCAUGGACUAACAAAGUUUCUCAGACCUCAAGGGCUCUGUUCACAGUCACCAAGCUGAGGGAAAGCAGCUGGAGACACAGCUCAGGAAUGUGUUCCCAGAAGUUUAGACCUAGGCUCUCCUGGACCACCCCUCACGUGUGCACGCCCCGUCUGCACACACUCAGGCGCACUUGCUUGCUCUUGGCCAGAUCAGAUCCAGUUCUCACAGCAAGCCCAGUAGCUUCAGGACAAGCAUUUUUACUUUCCCACAGUCCAGAUGACUAGGUGGGUGGAGUUAUCUGGAAUCACCCUGCAGGUCAGCAGUGGGGCUGGGGCCACCCUUUAUAUUCGCAGUGUAAUGUAUCACAUAUUUGGAAUUUAAGCAAAUCAUAACAUUCAGUUUCAAGCUAGAGCUAGAGUUCUGUUAUACUGAAAGGAAGAACAAUUUGAAAAUUUAUGAUUUAAGAAAUUGUACUAAUUGUAUAUUAAGUAAUGUCAACGAUUAGACACAGUGAAAAUGACCAGAGGAGAUGGUGGGCCACAGGGCAGGAAAGGGGGCUCAUGUUUACCUGGCAGUCUCAUCUCUCUGGACUCAUUCGAUUAUAAUGAAAUGUGCACAAACACGUUAGCAGGAAUGGGAAUGAUAGAAAUGGCCUGAGGAGGCUGCUUUUGGUAUUUAGUUAGAGUGUACUUUGGGAUUGUAUCUAAGUAUACAUUAAAUUGUUACAGUCUGACAUCUGUAUGAUGGGGGUAUUAUUAUUCCCAUAUUAUAAAUGAUAACCACUUCACUUUGAGAUACACUUUAAUAUGGAAUGCAUUUUAACAACAGAAUGCUGUAAGAGACCCCUAAAAAUCAACAGCCCAGUACAGAAAGCUAAUAUUGCCUGAUCUCACUUACAUGCAAAAUCUAAAAAUGUGAAACUCACGGAAGUGUGAGACUAGAAGGGCAGUUACCAGAUGCUGGGAAGAGAGUGGGGAAGGUGGAUAAGAAAAGAGAAGAUGUUAAUCGAAGGGGCGAGUUCCAGUGAGACGGGAAUAAGUGCUAGCGAUCUGUGUAGUACUAUAGUAAGUUAACAAUGUAUUGUACAUUUCAACAUCAGUGAAAACAGGUUUUAAGUGUUCUCACCACAAAACAAUUAUGUAUGUGAAACAAGCGUGCUAGUUAGCCUAAUGUAAUCAUAAUACAGUGGAUCCAUGUAUCUAACAUCUCCCUGUAGCUCAUAAUUACUAUUUGUCAAUUUGAAAAUAAAAUUUUAAAAAACUUCAUCUUCUAAAA